AUUGAACGCUGGCGGAAUGCUUUACACAUGCAAGUCGAACGGCAGCACGGACUUCGGUCUGGUGGCGAGUGGCGAACGGGUGAGUAAGGUAUCGGAACGUGCCCAGUCGUGGGGGAUAGCGUAGUGGAAAUUACGCUAAUACCGCAGACGAUCGAUGGAUGAAAGCGGGGGAGCGCAAGACCUCGCGCGAUUGGAGCGGCCGAUAUCAGCUUAGGUAGUUGGUGGGGGAAAGGCCCACCAAGCCAACGAACUGUAGCUGGUCUGAGAGGACGCCCAGCCACACUGGACCUGAGACUCGGUCCAGACUCCUACGGGAGGCAGCAGUGGGGAAUUUUGGACAAUGGGCGAAAGCCUGAUCCAGCCAUUCCGCGUGCAGGAUGAAGGCCCUCGGGUUGUAAACUGCUUUUGUACAGAACGAAAAGGUUUCUACUAAUACUAGGAGCUCAUGACGGUACUGUAAGAAUAAGCACCGGCUAACUACGUGCCAGCCGCCGCAGUAA
rnacentral:rRNA from 1 species